CCUACGGGAGGCAGCAGUGAGGAAUAUUGGUCAAUGGACGAGAGGCUGAACCAGCCAAGUAGCGUGAAGGAUGACUGCCCUAUGGGUUGUAAACUUCUUUUAUAUGGGAAUAAAAUGUUCCACGUGUGGGAUUUUGUAUGUACCAUAUGAAUAAGGAUCGGCUAACUCCGUGCCAGCAGCCGCGGUAAUACGGAGGAUCCGAGCGUUAUCCGGAUUUAUUGGGUUUAAAGGGAGCGUAGGUGGAUUGUUAAGUCAGUUGUGAAAGUUUGCGGCUCAACCUUAAAAGUGCAGUUGAAACUGGCAGUCUUGAGUACAGUAGAGGUGGGCGGAAUUCGUGGUGUAGCGGUGAAAUGCUUAGAUAUCACGAAGAACUCCGAUUGCGAAGGCAGCUCACUGGACUGCAACUGACACUGAGGCUCGAAAGUGUGGGUAUCAAACAGGAUUAGAUACCCUGGUAGUC
rnacentral:rRNA from 1 species